GACGAACGCUGGCGGCGUGCUUAACACAUGCAAGUCGAGCGGUAAGGCCCUUUCGGGGGGUACACGAGCGGCGAACGGGUGAGUAACACGUGGGUGACCUGCCCUCAGCUCUGGGAUAAGCCUGGGAAACCGGGUCUAAUACUGGAUAUGACUCCAUGACGCAUGUUGUGGGGUGGAAAGCCUUGUGCGGCUGAGGAUGGGCCCGCGGCCUAUCAGCUUGUUGGUGGGGUGANGGCCUACCAAGGCGACGACGGGUAGCCGGCCUGAGAGGGCGACCGGCCACACUGGGACUGAGACACGGCCCAGACU
rnacentral:rRNA from 1 species